rnacentral:rRNA from 1 species
UUUUUAAGAAAUGAAUUUAAUUCAUACAUCUUAUUUAAUUUCUGUUGUUUUAUAUUUAUUUUAAUUUGAUGUUAAGAUUAAGGGGGAUUAGCUCCUUAUUUUAUUUUUAUAAUUUUCUUUUAUAUUUAGUUUUGUGGAUUUUAUAGUGAUUUUCAAUUUGAUUAUGUUAAAAUUUUAUUUGUUCUUUUGUUUAUUUUAUUUUAUUUAAUUUUUUAUUGAAAUGUUUGUUUUAAUUUGUGGUUGCAUGGUGAUUAUUGUGAAAUUAGUAAAUUUAUUUUUUAUAUUGUAUUAUUGAAUGUUAAUUUCUUUUAAGGAAUUAGGCAAAUUUUUUAUGUUCGCCUGUUUAACAAAAACAUCUUUUCUUGUUAGUUUUUGAAGUAUGGCCUGCCCACUGACUUUGAGUUGAAGGGCCGCGGUAUUUUGACCGUGCAAAGGUAGCAUAAUCAUUAGUUCUUUAAUUGUGAUCUGGUAUGAAUGGCUUGACGAGAUAUAAGCUGUCUUAAUGGUAUUGUUUAUUGAAUUUAGUUUUUGAGUUAAAAUUCUUAGAUGUUUUUAUGGGACGAGAAGACCCUAUAGAGUUUGACAUUUGUUUUGUUUAGGUUUAGUAGUUUGUUUUAUUUAUAUAAGCUGAAUUAAUGUUUUGUUGGGGUGAUGGGAGGAAUUUAUUUAACUCCUCUUUGCUUUUAUAUAUUUAUUUAUAUUUUGUUUGAUCC